CAGCAGCAGCCGCGGGAAUACAGAGGGUGCGAGCGUUAAUCGGAUUUACUGGGCGUAAAGCGUGCGUAGGCGGCUAAUUGAGUCGGAUGUGAAAUCCCCGAGCUUAACUUGGGAAUUGCAUUCGAUACUGGUUAGCUAGAGUGUGGGAGAGGAUGGUAGAAUUCAAGGUGUAGCGGUGAAAUGCGUAGAGAUCUGGAGGAAUACCGAUGGCGAAGGCAGCCAUCUGGCCUAACACUGACGCUGAGGUACGAAAGCAUGGGGAGCAAACAGGAUUAGAUACCCGCGUAGUCCCUGUCUCUUAUAU
rnacentral:rRNA from 1 species